GAGCAAGCUGACGCUCACCUCGGUCAGUGCGCAGUAUUCUUUCUCUUCGGGUUCAUCGCUGGAGCAAGACGCGAUCACACGCCACUCGCUGAGAAGUCGCGUUUCAAAAUUUUUUGAGCACAGAAAAUUGCUAAAGUGAGAUCUCAAGUCGUCUAGGAAGGAAAAAGCAACUUUUUCCCGGUGACAAAUUUUAAACUUGCGUUCCGCGCCUAAAACAGUGAAGAGCAGAGUUUAUUUUUAACGGAAUUAACCGCGUUCAGGGCUUGUUUUAAAGUCUAGAAAAGUGUAGUUCAGUGUUGGAAGAAAAAAGUAAAAUGGCCGAUCAGGAUCAAGAGAUGAACGGAAACGGUCAGGAAUCCCAGGACCAGAACGGAGGCGACCAGAAUGGAGCCGAGGGCAGCAACGUUCGCGAUGACGACAGAAAAUUAUUCGUUGGUGGACUUAGUUGGGAAACAUCAGACAAGGAACUGAAGGAACACUUCGGCCAGUACGGUGAGAUCGAGAGCAUAAACGUCAAGACAGACCCCAACACGGGCCGCUCGCGAGGAUUCGCCUUCAUCGUGUACAAGAGCGCCGAUUCGAUCGACAAGGUUGUGGCCGCCGGCGACCAUGUUAUCAACAACAAGAAGGUCGACCCCAAGAAGGCCAAGGCCCGCCACGGCAAGAUCUUCGUCGGUGGACUGACCACCGAGAUCAGCGAUGAGGAGAUCAAGACCUUCUUCGGACAGUUUGGCAACAUCGUCGAAGUCGAGAUGCCAUUCGACAAGCAGAAGAACCAACGCAAGGGCUUCUGUUUCAUCACCUUCGACUCCGAACAGGUGGUGAACGAACUGCUCAAGACGCCAAAGCAGACCAUCUCCGGCAAGGAGGUGGACGUCAAGAAGGCCACUCCCAAGCCCGACAACAUGCACAUGGGUGGCCCGAUGGGCGGCCGCGGUGGCAUGCGAGGCCCGCCACGAGGCGGUAUGCGAGGUGGACGCGGGGGACCUGGAGGACCCAAAGGCUACGGACAAGGCUGGGGCAACCAGGGGGGAUACGGAGGUGGCGGCUACGGCAACCAGGGCGGAUAUGGAUACGGUGACUAUUAUGGCGAUUGGGCGGGAUGGGGCUACAACGGUUAUGAUUACUCCCACUACGACGAUUACUAUGGAGGUUACAACGAUGGUUAUGGCAACGGCGGUGGUCGACCUGGUGGCCCUCGCGGGGGCAAAGGUGCCGGUGGUGGCGGUUAUCAGGGUGGAAAGCAGCGAGGCGGAGGCGGUGGCAACCGCCAGCCAAGGCAUACGCCGUACUAAAGAGUCCCGCAAACCGUUGGACACCCUCUGUCCUUUCCCAACUUUUAAUUACUAUAGAUUAGUAGUUUAGCGCCCCUCCCCCCAAACAAGAAACAACCAAUCCCUUACUAGCAAGAUAAGUCCCCAGUAACACAAUUCCUAAUUUGAGAUCCAAGAAGACAGCGAGAGCGAAACAAGUAUGCAAGAGCAUAAGUGGAGCGUGUGAUGAACUGAAUAAAAAAAUCGUAGAAGGAUAGAAUUCUUCCGCUACACACACAAACACUGAGUACACAUGGGACUUCCCGUCCACCCAGUACUAGAGGAGAGGAGAAGGAAGGCAGCAACAGUUGCUCACCUUCCAUGGAUCCCAGUUACCAUACUUUGCCCAUACAUGUGCAUAAUCUGGAUGUGCUCUGGUUGGCUGUUUGGAAUGAAGAUAAUCCCCCCUUAGGUUCUAUUAUACUCGUAAAACCCAAAAAAAAAAACAUGACUGAAGAAUAAAUUUAGUUGGCGUGGCCGCCCCCACUCUCGUCAUAACUCGUAUAUAUGUAUUUAAAGUGCAUGCAAAACAGGCACGGUAAAACUAAGACAAAUUGGAGAUACUUAACAAUGCGUCCAUUGGCAGACGUGGUCCUGGACCGACCCCCUGGACAGGAGGAAGAUCGUGGAGAUUGUAAUCUUAAAAAAAAAAAAAUACUGUUGAACAUUUUUUUCCUUGUGGCAUUUAAAAAGAAAGAAGAAAGCGAUUAUUUUCCGUGUAGCAGACUAGUAAAACGUAAGCGCAGCCUACUAUAAACAGCAGCAUAGAAGCUGAUGGACAAACCGAACAAAUAGAUUGUAUUUCCCCAACACCCCUAAUUUAUGUAUUUGACCCCCUACUACUCCCCCACAUAGCUAGUAAGAGGACAGAUAAAUUCAAACAAAACAAAUUAACUAUUUACAUAUAUUUUAUGUAGAAACAAGACUCCAAACUACAACAUCUUCUCUGUAAUGUAUUAUAUUUUUAAAACACACACACACACUUAUACUGAAUAAAGAAGCAGUCUCAGUCGCCAAACAAUAA